rnacentral:lncRNA from 1 species
CGGGACGACAGUGCCUAGCAGAGGAGCUUCACUGCCGGUGAGGGAUUACCUCAGGUUAGGCUUUAAUGUUUCGUUGCCGUCUAGAGACGUUCUAGCAAUGUGACAUCUGUGUACCAUAUCUGGAAGUCUCCCUGUACGUCAAGAGCCCCUUAGGGGAGUCUCCCAUUGCCGCCGUGGGAACCUGUGUUUACAUUACGAGGAGAGAGAAUAGCUGUACUCUGAACUCAAACGCUCAAAACAUGCAGUGAGCGAAUGCUAGCAUAAUUUUCUUGCCUCUACCAGAAGGAAGGCUGGGUAUUUAGGAAACAGAACGCGUUGGGCACAACAUUCUGAGAAAAUGGACACAGAAAAUUAGGUUAUCCUAAUAGAAAAGCAGUUGCAUCUCCCAAAGUCAAGAGAUUCUGUAGGACUUCCGAUGUAUCUCCUGCUGUGUAAAAUAUUCAGGUUCCUGAAGUGGGGGACAUUUUUAGGGCAACUGUAAUUUCUUCAUUUUUUCCAUCCCACAAGUGCUGGAGGCAGCAGUGAUCUGAGCUCUAGAAAGUGACUGUCCGUCACCAUCGGUAUUUGCAUAUACUCUGUGAGGAGAAGGGCAGUUGUGGCUAAGACAAAAUUCUACUAUCAAGUUUUGUUUCUCAAAUCUCACUCAUUAACAUCUUUGAUUUCCUUGGAUCCCCAUAACACACACAGAAAACUAUGAUUUGUGUAAAAUGCGCUGAAGUACCUUUUAAGGGAAGUCAUUUGGCUUUCUCUCUGGCUUAACAACACGGGGAGCAGUUCCAUUUUAUCUGGAACAGGGAAGUUUAUUUCCCUAGAGAACUAGGGUUACCAAAAAUGUUCGAUCCCACAAGGCAGUUUUGUUUGCAUAUUUUCACAGAAACUUCCUUCUACUACUUAAAGUCCUCACAUUGGGCUGACCUGGGAAACAUGAAGAUAAAAAGAGUGGGUAAACAUGCCUGCUUGAUGAGCCAGAAAAAAAGGCAGAAACCUGUGGUCUGGGUAGAACAGAUCCUGCUCAGAAUGUAAGCUUCAAACAUGUUUAUCAUGCCUUGGUUCAACCUAACUCUCUGACAUGUUCCUAAACUCCUGCUCUCUCAAGUUAUGUCCCUUUCCUCUUUUCAAAUAUCUCUCAGAAUUCACCCUUUCGGGAACCUUUGCUGAUUGACUCCUAUUUUAUUUGAAUUCUGCAUCAUCAUCUGAUUACUUAAAUUAACCUGUACCUUCUUUAUUUAUACUUGUUAACUUCUAUUUUCAUUGCUCUUAGGUCCUCAGUCUUUCUCACUAUACGGAGAGCUUCUUAAAGUCUGUAUUUUCUCCUCUUUAGUAUCAUUCACUCAUUCAUCCAGCAAACUGCUUGUGUGCCUGCUCUGUGCUAUACACUCUUCUAGACACUGGGUCAGGUAUGAAUGAGACAGGUGAAUAAAGCAUGGUCUUUUCCCUCAGGGACCUUACAGUCUAAUGAGGAAAAAACGUGUGCAGACAUAUAUAAGAUAAGUGAGAGAGUCGGAGAAGAACAUCAGAAGUGAUAUUUGAGCAUAGUAAGGUCAAAGAAGUUUCAAAGUUUAGUCAUUUGUCCAUUCAGUAACUAUUUAUAGAGCAUCUUCUGUGUGCUAGGCACUAUAUAAGAAAUUAAGGGGCUGGGUGUGGUGGCUCAUGCCUGUAAUCCCAGCACUUCGGGAGGCUGAGGCAGGUGAAUCACCUGAGGUCAGGAGUUCGAGACCAGCCUGGCCAACAUGGUGAAACCCCGUCUCUACUAAAAAUACAAACAUUAGCCAAGUGUAGUGGCGCAUGCCUGUAAUCCCAGCUACCCUGGAGGCUUAAGCAGAAGAACCGCUGGAACCCAGGAGAAGAAGGCUACCAUGAGCCGAGAUUGCACCAUUGCACUCCAGCCUGGGCGACAGUGAGACUCUGUCUCAAAAAAAAAAAAAAGAAAGAAAGAAAGAAAUAAAAAAAAAAGAAAUUAAGGAUACACAGAAGAAAAGGCAUGGUCUGUGCCCUGAAGGAGCUUACAGUUAAGCAGAGAAGUUGCACGAUUUGGAAGUAGUAAGGUAAAUUGAGUCAGAUUUUGAAAGGCAAUGUAGAGCUGUUAGAAGUUUAUUCGCACAGGUAGCCAGGCACAGUGGCUCAUGCCUGUAAUCCCAGCACUUUGGGAAGCCAAGGUGGCAGAUCACUGGAGGUCAGGAGUUCAAGACCAGCCUGGCCAACACAGUGAAACCCCAUCUCUACUACAAAUACAAAAAUUAGCCAGAUAUGGUGGCAUAUGCUUGUAAUCCCAGCUACUCGGGAGGCUGAGGCAGGAGAAUCGCUUGAAUCCGGGAGGCAGAGGUUGCAGUGAGCCGAGAUCGUGCCACUGCAGUCUAGGCUGGGCAAACAGAGCCAGACUCUGUCUCAAAAAAGAAGUUUAUUCAGACAGGUAAUGUGAGAGAGAACUAGUGAUGGUGAAGGAAGAGGGCUAGCUGGAGUGGGUAAAGACUGGAGAAAGGGAUCCUAAUCAGAAAACUAUGAUGAGGGUUUGAUUACACAGGAAAGAAGGCGAGAAGGGGCAGAUAUGUGAAAUACAUCCUCCUAAACCAAGUCAGAGCAACUGGAGAGGGAGGUGGAGCAGUUAGCAAUCGGAAGCAUUCAAGUUUCAUUCAGGGUAUAAACCAGGAAAAGUUGUUCUGGCCCCUCAUCUGGUUUCAUGAAGGACAAUAUCUAGCAUGAGAGUGACAGGGGUUAGAAUAAUGGACAUUUUGGGGACUGGGUCCUAGCAGAAAUGAUGGAAUAAUGGAACAGGAGUUUGGAUGAAUGGGCAUAUUAUGGGAUUAAAGAAGAUUUGAAUACAAGCUUUCCUAAUAAAUGAAAGGGGAGGUGAAACUAGAGCAUGCUGAUGGCUGCACAGCAUUGUGAAUGCACUAAAUGCACUAACUGUCCACUUUAAAAUGUUUAGUAAUAUGUCGAUUUUACCUAAAUAAAAAAAAGGAAGCAACAUAGUGAGUCAUCGUCUCUAUAACAAUUUUAUUCAG